UAAACUCCGCCUACGUGUGCAUGUGUCUG
rnacentral:piRNA from 1 species